AUUUUCCAACACCUCAGAAGUAGGUAUUGCCUCAAUCCAUUGUGGUAUGGUUUUUAUGUUUUUUGUUUCACCCAUUCUUUGGAGUUUUGGGUCCAACCAUUGGUUAGAUAUGAUUAUAUGAUCUAUUUGAAAAAAAAAAAAUCCCUACAUUGGGAUUGAGGAUUCAAUGGACAGUGUUACACGUUGGAUGGCAUGUGUGUAUUAGGAUGAAAAAUGGCCACAAGAGAUGAGAAAGAGAGGCAGGAAGAAGAAGGAUGAAGGAGAAAGAGAGAGAUAGAGAGACGUCUGAACUAGGGUUUGGAUGUCCUCUACCAAUCCUAUUUAUUUAACAAUGGGAAAGUAAAACAAAAGAGGAGCCUUAGGCCUGGGCCCACAUGUCAGCCCACAAGAGUAGAAUAUACCGAUAUUCAAAACUAUUGUGUUGUUGUUUUGAAGAUUUGGAGGUGUUGGUAUGGAGGGUAGCUAUAGAUCUGUGCUUGGGUUGUGUUAUGAACCUAAGCAGAAAAAUUGGGGAUCUAGCAUCCAAAUGCAUUUGGGCCAUCCAUAAACAUUAGAUGGAAGCCAGAUAACGAUACAAUCUGGAUGAUCAAAGAUCAGGGCAUCAAAUUGGACAUCAGACUCACAAAAUACCCAUUCAACGGCUUGUUCAAAGAUUUGAUGGAUCUGACCAUCCAUAUUAAAUAUUUGGAUCAUUCAAUGGAAGCCAAUGAUCUUCUGCAUGUUUCUGGUCAACUUGGUGCUAGACCGGCACAUUCUCUCAUUGAGCAACAUCAUUAUCUUCAGCUUGGUAGUGGUGACUUAUGCCAGAUGUGGGGAUGUAUAAGUGAUUGGUGGGCAUGGCAAACUCGUAUACUUGAUGGUUACUAGUCUUGAUAUUGCUCAUGCCGUCAAUAUGAUGACCCACUUUAUGCAUGCAUGGUGUACGUGUCACUUGGAUGCAUUUACAGUAUCUUGAAGUUUCUAAUAGGCUCCCCUAGUCGAGGUAUCCUAUAUUCCAUGCAUGAUCACCUUCAUGUUGAAGCCUAUGCUAAUGCUGACUGGCAGAGUCAGUCACAAGCGGUGAUCUACUAUGGGCUAUUGUACCUUAGCGGGUGGAAAUUUAAUUGCAUAGAAGAGUAAGAAGGAAUCAGUAAUGCCUCAGCGUGUUGCUGAGGCCAAGUAUCAUGCUAUGGCUCAUGGGGUGUUCGAGUUACUUUGGUUAAAAUCUUGUUGAAUGAGCCGCAUAUUCCUGUUUCUCUUUUGAUGACAUUUCAUUGUAACAAUUUAGCUGCCAUCUGUAUCUCUUCUAAUCCAAUAUACCAUGAAUGGAUGUUUCAAGGUUGAUUGUCACUUUCUUCAUGAAAAGGUGAUUUCUAAGGUGGUUUGCAUGCUAUGUCGAGGGUAAAUUUGCUGAUUUUUUGACCAAGGGCAUCAGUAGUCAUCAACUUUAUAGAGCAUGUCACAAGCUGGCCAUGAUUGACAUCAAUGCUCUAGCUUGAGGGGGAGUGUAGAGCGACUUAGAAGGAUAUCUAUAAUCAUGCGUGUAUUUUUUUUCUUCCUUUUUUCUUUUCUCCUGUAGUCAAUCAGCUUAUGAAAUCAUGAGGAGUAUUGUACUUUUCUUUUAGUAAUAACAUUAGUGUGCUAGUUUUGGAACUAACGCUCUUCACCCUUGCCUCAUCUCUCUUUCUCUGUCUAUUCUCUUCUCUCUUCUUCGCUUCUAGAUCCAAACUUCUCUUCAUUCCUGAGAUUUCAAGUGCUACUUCUUGGUUCUCUUUUUAUUUGUCAUGGUAUGCAUAGGAUUCUCAGUCCCUUUGAUUUCCAGACAUAUAAUGUCUGUGAAUAAUAGUGGUGUUACUAUUUGUUUCUGGAAAGAAAAGCUGAACUAGUAUUUAGUUUUCCCAAGAGAGUAGUGCAGGUCAAGCAGUGGAAUUGACUCACUGAUGUGUCCCACUGUAAAGAGAAUAAUCAAUAAUCAUUCAAACUCCUCAAGCCAUCACUUGAUUUGAAAAAUUCAGAUAACAAGAAUCAACUGUGAAUCUCAUGGUCAUGUGGAGGCAUUGGAUCAAAGACACCAUUUAGAAUGAUGAGAAUACUUGUACCGCAGCAUGGUAGAUUUCUGAAUAUCAUUCCUUUGGGUUCUAUUUUGGAGUGAAAUAGUUAGUGUAAUUCCCACAGGAGCUUGGAGGUGAAUAAGAUGUACUGUUUCUAAGAGGUUGUCAUCUGGCUUCUAUGGUGUCAGCCUCCCUGAGAGGGUGAGGAUCAGGCAGAAGCAAUAAUAUGUAUUGUUUCUAAGGGCUUGUCCUCCAGCUUCUGUGGCAUCUGCUUCCCUGAGAGGGUAAGCAUCAGGCAGAAGCACUUGGCCCCAAUUGUCUUCCUUAACCUCUGAGACUAGCUGAUAAGUUUUGAGGGACUGAUCACUCUGACCAAGCAUUCAAAUUUAGGCAUGAGUCUGAGUUUUCAUUUGUAGGAUAAAUGCUGAUGCGGUUUGCACUAGUGAUGGAAGAAGAGAUUUGUGGCACGUGUGUCAACUGGUGCAUAUGUGGGGUUAGAGCUGUACAUGAGUCGAACCGGGUCGAGCUUGGCACAGCUCGACUCGGCUCGACCACUAGCUGACCCCAGCUCGAACUUGGCUCGGCUCGGUCCUUGAGCCUGACUGGCCAGCUCGGCUUGGUUUGGUCAGCAACUCGGGCCAGUUCGAGCUGAGUUCGAGCCUGUGUGGCAUUUUCUCAAACACAUGGUGUUCACCUUCAAUUUCUCACUGUAUGUAAAACAGCAGCAGCAGUUUACAGGUAUUUCAUCAAACACUCAGUAGGCAACAUCAAAAUCAAGAUACAAGGGUAUUUGUUUCAUAUCCAUACCUUCCUCGCCACCAGCCGACACUUUGUUGAGUCAUUUCAUCAAACACUUGAUAAGCAACAUCAAUAUCAAAAUAA